CCUACGGGAGGCAGCAGUGAGGAAUAUUGCUCAAUGGACGAGAGUCUGAACCAGCCAAGUAGCGUGAAGGAUGACUGCCCUAUGUGUUGUAAACUUCUUUUAUAAAGGAAUAAAACGAGGCACGUGUGCCUUUUUGCAUGUACUUUAUGAAUAAGGAUCGGCUAACUCCGUGCCAGCAGCCGCGGUAAUACGGAGGAUCAGAGCGUUAUCCGGAUUUAUUGGGUUUAAAGGGUCCGCAGGCGGAUUGUUAAGUCAGCGGUAAAAUCGUGGGGCUAAACCCCGUCCAGCCGUUGAAACUGGGGAUCUAGAGUGUGUGAGAGGUAUGCGGAAUGCGUGGUGUAGCGGUGAAAUGCAUAGAUAUCACGCAGAACCCCGAUUGCGAAGGCAGCAUACCGGUGCACAACUGACGCUCAGGCACGAAAGCGUGGGUAGCGAACAGGAUUAGAUACCCUUGUAGUC
rnacentral:rRNA from 1 species